CUUGACGACCAUAGAACAUUGGAACCACCUGAUCCCAUCCCGAACUCAGCAGUGAAACGAUGUAUCGCCGAUGGUAGUG
rnacentral:rRNA from 1 species